UCACUCCUUCGCUUUCUCUCUUGGAUUUCUAUUGCUUCUCUCUCCUUAACUCUAAGCUUUGAUGUGAAACUGAAGAAGUCACUGUUUGUCAUCUGCUGCAUUUGAUUACCUUGCUCCCUUGUGUUAGCAUUUAAGGUGCAUUUAAUUUCUCUUUUUUUUUUUUGAAAUUUACUAUAGUGUUAUUUAUGCAGCUUUUUAGCAUGUUAUCCUAGACACAUAUAUAGCUGGUUUUCAGUCAAGAAUUAAACCAUCCAAAAACAAGUUAUGUCGAGGAUUAGCUUAAAGGCAACCAAAUAACUCCCUUGCUGCCCCAUUAGCACUUUAUAAAGACAAUUUGCUAACCAUAACUAUGAACACUGCAUAAAAAUCUGUUAACAAGUUAAUAUGUCUGUUCAACUUCAACAUGGAAACAAACAAUUCAUUUUCAUGUCUGGUUCUCAUACCCAAUAUAAUGUCAUUGGAAGUGCUUGCUAUUCCAGAAAAAAACAGUGUAUUAGCCACUCUAAUUGGUUUCAUAAGAGCUGUGCUCCAGCUCAAGAAAAUGUACUGCAAUCUAGUCAAAUUCAGUUUCUUUAACAAAUUAGGCAAAUGGUAAACCACAAGUAGGUUCCUACUGAUUUCUUUGACUAUUUACUGAAUAUUUGUAAGCACUAGCAAUUAUUAAGCAUUAGCAAUUAUUAAGCACUAAGCCCUAAUGAUAUCACUUAACAAGUAUGAUAUGAUGCAUGGCUUGUGAUCUUAUCUUUGCAAAAGGUGACAAUUAGGGUGUGGGUCCAGAUGGACCCACUUAAGAGCAUGCCUUGUUUCAUAGGUUUCCUGUUGUGAUUUCUUUUAGAUUUUUAUAAUCUGUAUGUUUGAUUGCUAUAGUGUUACUUUGGAUAAAUCUUGGCCAACGGUAAUGAUCACUGAUCAAACUAUGGUGAAAGAGAAGGGGGUUGUUUUUGCUAGAGAUUCCUUGUGGUUGCUUGUGGAAGUUUGCUUAGAAAGAAAGUGACUGGGUUAGGUUAUUGAAGAGAGAAGUGGAAAAAAAAUGAAAGUGAAGGCCCCACAUAACUGUCCAUAGGCCGAUAUCUUUCUCGCACAUUUACAUUAAUCAAAGUUCUUUUUUUUUUAAUUCUCUUUAUUUUUUAUAGUUAUAAUAAAUUUUAAAAAAACCGUCCUAACUAAUUUUUAAAAAAAUAAGGAUGAUAUAAGUUAAUAUAGUUAGUUGUGUGGAUGUUAUUUUAUUUGCUAUUUGUACAAAAGCAUUGAGUUUAGUUGAUUGGCAGUCACAAAGAAGCUUUCCCGAAAGCAAUUUUAACAUAAGAGGAAAUGUUUCAUAUACAUUUUGGGUGAAUUGACUGCACCAUUCCAUGUGUUUGUCUUGUAAAAGAGGCAACAUUUUGCUUGCACCUGUCCCUAUACAGUCCACUCAUAUGCAAAUACAUCAUACAUACACGUUGCUUACAAGUAAGUGCUAUCACAAAGACACUUGGAACAUCAUUAAAGCUACCUUGACAAAUCUGAGGUAUGAUUUCUGUUAAUGUUAGUGUUUUAUGUGAUUUUAAUAUUGAUAUUUUACUUGGAACAUCAUUAAGUGCUAUCACAAAGACACUUACAAGUAAGUACAUCCACAUUUUGAUUUAUAAUUUUCCUGCAUCACUUCUGAUAAAAAAAUUAGCCACGUACUGAUAUCAUGAAUGUUGCAUCAUCACUUUGAUUGCAAGGAACUGCUCAGGUUCUCUCAGUGCAGUUUGAUUUAGAUAAUAUUAUAGAUAUCUCUGUUAUUAAUAUUUGCUUGCUCGCUGGGUUUCACUUUCACUGUAUAUCUGUUUAAUUGAGAAAAUUUCCAUGUCCUUUCAGAUAUUCUCUGAUUUGAAAGCUCAAAUUUUAGCUGCACAGCCAGUGGAUCAACCUCAGCGGCUUUCACUUUGUUUCGACAAACUGAUGGCUGAUGUCACGCGAAGCUUGGAUGCAAAGAACAGGGACAGGUUUACUCAGAAUCUAACUGUUUUCAGGCAUGAAUUCCGUGUGAAAUAGCUCGAAUGUUGCAUAUUGCUACCUGUUUAGGGACUGCAUUUUACCUCCAGAUACUGUGUUCGAAGAAGCCCAAGUACCUUACAUUAAUUUGACCAGUAAGCUUGGACCAUGUUUGCUGUUGGAGAGGAGCUUCUUUUUGAUGCAGUAUCUAUAUUUGUUGCCAAAUCAUUAAGAAGCAGAAGGUAAAAGGUUUGCAAUGAAGUUGUGUACGACUUUUUCUUUUUGUACAGUUUUCCAUUUUUCUUUUCUCAGGUUCCUUUUUGAAAGGAUACUGGAAGUGUAAUACACAAUGAUGAGGGGAUUACCAAAGACUUGCAGAAGCUAGUGGUGGGUUUGAUAGUAGUCUAUGUUUAGGGUAUUUAUUCUUUCUGAAACAAAGAUGUAAAUCAUUCAUGGGGAUUAUGUUUUAAGGUGGUGAUGAGUAGAUUUAUUUGUACAUUAACCUCAAAUAAUUCUUUUGUAUUUGUUGAUAAUAGAAAGAAAAGGAAUGAUAUUUUAGUGUGCAA